UACGGGGGGAGCAAGCGUUGUUCGGAUUUACUGGGCGUAAAGGGCGCGUAGGCGGUCGUGACAAGUCACUUGUGAAAUCUCCGGGCUUAACUCGGAACGGUCAAGUGAUACUGUCGGACUAGAGUACAGAAGGGGCAACUGGAAUUCUCGGUGUAGCGGUGAAAUGCGUAGAUAUCAGGAGGAACACCGGCGGUGUAGACGGCUAUCUGGACAGCAACUGACGCUGAGACACGAAAGCGUGGGGAGCAAACAGG
rnacentral:rRNA from 1 species